AUUUGAGUGAACAGACACGGGCUAUGACGGAAAUGAAUGGAAUGUUUUGUUCUACAAGGCCUAUGCGGAUCGGUCCAGCUGCAAAUAAAAAGAAUGAUGCCCAACAGCAGUAUGCUACGAAAGCUCCCUCUCAGACUGUGACUGGAAGCGAGUCCGAGAAUGAUCCAAAUAAUACUACUAUAUUUGUUGGUGGUCUGGAUCCAAAUGUCACCGAAGAUGUUCUGCGUCAAUUAUUUAGUUCCUUUGGGGAUUUGAG
rnacentral:misc_RNA from 1 species